rnacentral:rRNA from 1 species
AUUGAACGCUGGCGGCAUGCUUUACACAUGCAAGUCGAACGGCAGCACGGGCUUCGUGCUGGUGGCGAGUGGGGGACGGGUGAGUGAUAUAUCGGAACGUACCCUGCCGUUGGGGCUAACGUAACGUCGGUUAAGCUGAUACCGCAUACGAUCUAAUGAUGAACGCAGGGGACCACAAGGGAUUGUCGUCCUGGAGGGGCCGAUAUGUGAUUAGCUAGUUGGUGAGGUAACGGCUCACCAAGGCGACGAUCAGUAGCUGAUCUGAGAGGACGACCAGCCACACUGGAACUGAGACACGGUCCAGACUCCUACGGGAGGCAGCAGUGGGGAAUUUUGGACAAUGGGCGCAAGCCUGAUCCAGCAAUGCCGCGUGAGUGAAGAAGGCCUUCGGGUUGUAAAGCUCUUUUGUCAGGGAAGAAACGGUAGAGGCUAAUAUCCGUUGAUAAUGACGGUACCUGAAGAAUAAGCACCGGCUAACUACGUG